AUGUUCCUACGGGGGGCAGCAGUGGGGAAUAUUGCACAAUGGGGGAAACCCUGAUGCAGCGACGCCGCGUGAGUGAAGAAGUAUUUCGGUAUGUAAAGCUCUAUCAGCAGGGAAGAAAAUGACGGUACCUGACUAAGAAGCCCCGGCUAACUACGAGCCAGCAGCCGCGGUAAUACGUAGGGGGCAAGCGUUAUCCGGAUUUACUGGGUGUAUAGGGAGCGUAGGUGGCAUGGUAAGCCAGAAGUGAAAACCUGGGGCUCAACCCCGAGGAUUGCUUUUGGAACUAUCAGGCUGGAG
rnacentral:rRNA from 1 species